UCCGGUCAGUGACGUAGUUCCGCUUUGCGGGGCGCGCGGUGGACCGUCUGAAACGUAGAGUUCGGCUUUCGCUGGGGCAUCGCGGCUCGGAGCUCAGCAUGGCUACCUCACGAGGCGCCUCCACGGCAGCCAAAACUAAGGCACCUGAUGACUUAGUUGCUCCUGUUGUGAAGAAACCACACAUCUAUUACGGAAGUUUGGAAGAGAAGGAGAGGGAGCGUCUGGCCAAAGGAGAGUCUGGGAUUUUGGGAAAAGAAGGACUUAAAGCUGGAAUUGAAGCAGGAAAUAUUAACAUAACCUCUGGAGAGGUGUUUGAAAUUGAGGAGCACAUCAGUGAACGACAGGCCGAAGUGUUAGCCGAGUUUGAGAGAAGAAAGCGAGCCCGGCAAAUCAAUGUUUCCACUGAUGACUCAGAGGUCAAGGCUUGCCUUAGAGCCUUGGGGGAGCCCAUCACACUUUUUGGAGAGGGUCCUGCUGAAAGAAGAGAAAGGUUAAGAAAUAUCCUCUCAGUGGUUGGUACUGAUGCCUUAAAAAAGACCAAAAAAGAUGAUGAGAAAUCUAAGAAGUCCAAAGAAGAGUAUCAGCAAACCUGGUACCAUGAAGGACCAAACAGCCUGAAGGUCGCUAGACUAUGGAUUGCUAAUUAUUCACUGCCCAGGGCAAUGAAACGCUUGGAAGAGGCUCGUCUCCAUAAAGAGAUUCCUGAGACAACCAGGACGUCCCAGAUGCAAGAGCUGCAUAAAUCUCUCCGGUCUUUGAAUAAUUUCUGUAGUCAGAUUGGGGAUGAUCGGCCUAUCUCCUACUGCCACUUUAGUCCUAAUUCCAAAAUGCUGGCCACAGCUUGUUGGAGUGGGCUUUGCAAGCUCUGGUCUGUUCCCGAUUGCAACCUCCUUCACACUCUCCGAGGCCAUAACACAAAUGUAGGAGCAAUUGUAUUCCAUCCAAAAUCCACUGUCUCCUUGGACCAGAAAGAUGUCAAUCUGGCCUCUUGUGCUGCUGAUGGUUCUGUGAAGCUUUGGAGCCUUGACAGUGAUGAACCAGUGGCGGAUAUUGAAGGCCAUACAGUGCGUGUGGCCCGUGUAAUGUGGCAUCCAUCGGGGCGUUUCUUGGGCACCACCUGCUAUGACCGCUCAUGGCGCUUAUGGGAUUUGGAGGCUCAAGAGGAGAUCCUGCAUCAGGAAGGCCACAGCAUGGGUGUGUAUGACAUUGCCUUCCAUCAAGAUGGCUCUUUGGCUGGCACUGGGGGACUGGAUGCAUUUGGUCGUGUUUGGGACCUGCGCACAGGACGGUGUAUCAUGUUCUUAGAAGGCCACCUGAAGGAAAUCUAUGGAAUAAAUUUCUCCCCCAAUGGGUACCACAUUGCAACUGGCAGUGGUGACAACACGUGCAAAGUGUGGGACCUUCGACAGCGGCGUUGUGUCUAUACCAUCCCUGCCCAUCAGAACUUAGUGACUGGUGUCAAGUUUGAGCCUAUCCAUGGGAAUUUCUUGCUCACUGGUGCUUAUGAUAACACUGCCAAGAUCUGGACCCACCCAGGCUGGUCUCCACUGAAGACUCUGGCUGGCCAUGAAGGCAAAGUGAUGGGCCUAGACAUUUCUUCUGAUGGGCAGCUCAUAGCCACUUGCUCGUAUGACAGGACCUUCAAGCUCUGGAUGGCUGAAUAGGCAGGACCAUGGAAAAAGGGCUCUAACCUCAAAGCUCUUCCCUAAGAGCCAUUUUCAAAAGAAAGGAAUUGAUAUGUUUUGUUCUAUCAUGUUUUUUGCCAAUUACAUUGUAUAGACCCUCAAAAGAAUUGGAUUUCCAUGUCAGCCUCCACUCCAGCACUCAGGAUUGUGACUGGCUCCAUUUUUAAUUUUGAAACUUGGCUUUCCAUUACGUGGUACGUGCCUCAGGACUACAUGUGACCCACAGAGCAAGCAGCUGCACUAUAGUCUGGAAGCCCUCAAAUAAAGAGGCACUUCUCACCACACACCUGGUUAACCAGUGCCUUGACAGAGUGCAAACCUUUCCUCUGCCUUUAGAACAGGAGAUGAAGAGGUAGACCACAGCUAUGCUCAGGGUUAUGCAGUAAAGAAGAUUUUACGUCUUCCUGUUGAGUUUGCUUGGAAUGCUAACCACAUCAGGAAGCUCAGAACUGAACAUUUGCCCUGUCCGAAAAUGUCUUCCAUUUUGCUUUGAAGUUUGGCAUCCUUUGUGUUACCCCAAAGCUAGGCCAUUGUGUCAAGAGGCAAUGAAAUUUCUGGAAAGCAAACAUGAAGUCUCUGUUGUGCCACCUCCUUUGUAUUGGUUAUUAAGAGGAUGUACCUUUCAUGGCAAGGUAACUGGGAAAAAUCCCUCAUGGGUAUUCGUCAACAUCAACUUUCUUUUUUUCUUUAUUACACACUUGCUACAGAGUAAAAUCCUAUUAUAAAAAAUGUCCUUUAAAGACUUAUUUUGUAUAGUUAGGCAUUUUCUGAAUCCCAGCCAUUGGUCCAUAGAGUUCUCCCCCCCCCUUUUUUUUGUUUGAGAUAUAACGGAUGAUACCAGAUAUGGCUUAUUCCAGUUUUUCUCUUCUUAAGCACUCUGCUAAUAGUUUUUGUUUUUGUUUUUGUUUGUAGAGACUACUGCCUUGUGGGCCAGACUAUUAGCAAACUGGGUCUGGACUCUGUAAUUCAUACUCAUUGGCCGUGCAGCAGUCACCUUCACCUCUUUCCACCCCAAAUACACAACCACUGAACACGAAGUACACAGUAAAUUCUGACAAAAAUACAGGAAUUUGGAAGAAGAAAGGAUUGCAUAUAGAGAAAUGGAGAAGGGCUUAUAUGAUGGCUUUUCCUUGAAUGUUCAAAACACUUCAUUUGCUGUUCCAGAGAGGCUGACAGUGGCUUUGUCUAGUAAUUCUAUCCUGCAAACUAUGAAUGUGUGAUAAUCUUUUGUCUAAUUUUAAUUAUAACCAAAUAGUUGCAUAUUUUGAGUGCUGGUUAAGCUUCUGAAUUAUGGGCUCUGCCCCCUGUUGCGCAUUUGGCACUUCGUUAUUAAGUAUUAAUGGAUUUUAUUUUCUCCAUAGUUGGCCGUGGAAAAUAAUUUUUCAUUACUAACUUUUGUACUAUGUGUAAAGUAAUAAUUAACAUUAGUGUAUUAGCAUGCAAUCUGGAUGUAGUGUAUUAACAAAGGUUUUAAGUUUUUCAAGUUUAAAUUUUACUAUUCUGUUGAACUUUUUGUGUGUGUGUGGUUGUUCCAAGAGAUUGAGGUAGCAAUCAGGUGAACACAUUUCAUGUAAGCUUUUGGCAAAACAGUUCCCUUGUGGAAUAUACAUUACUUCGUUGUAAGGAGGCAGUUAGCUGAGAAGCAUAAACCAAAUAUAGUGUUUCAUAAUAAUAGUGAGAAUCAGAGCCACCACUUAAAAGGACACUUCCUGCCUAGAGACUUUGCCAGCCAUGUUCAGACACUUCAUUUAAUCCUCCCAAUCUUCUGAGUUAAGUUGUAUUCCCUUUUUACAGACAAAAUCGAAGCUCAGAGAAGUUAAGUAACUUGCUCAGGGUUACCCUGUCAGUGAGUGAUGGAGCCUCGUCUGUCUGUGUGUCUGUGACCUUAGGAAGAGAAUUCAUAGGGAUUUACUGAGUAUGUUGGCAGCACUGGCCAGACAGAAUGACCAGUCCAGCCAAUAUGGCCUGUUUCCUAUACAAAGCCAGAGCUUUUUAGCCCCUCUACCUGUGACACCUCCCUUGUGAUGAGUCACUGCAUCUCAGUCUGACUUCAUGCCAAAGGGAGUCACGGGAUUUCACCACCUCUACGUCAUGAACUAAUAAGGCGCCUGUAAUGUCACUCAACAGGAAACUUUGCAUCUUGGGAUAGAUGUUUUGUUGUGUGGAGCUGUCUUAAGCAUUGCAGCAUGUCUCACCAUCCCUGACCUAUAGAGUAAUAAAAGCCAGAAGCACAACCCACCCCAUCAUUGGAACACCAAAGUUGCUUCCAGACAUUUUUGCAUGCCCCAAGGUUAGAACUACUGAAGGUAAAAAUAGACACCCUACUGUUGAGCAUAUCCUUCCCUACCCCCAAAAAACUCAAACCUAUAUCUUUCCCUAUGUGGAUGGUGUACUAGCCACUCCAAGAGCCACUCCCCAAUUCUACUUGGACAAAAAGGCCCCCACCACUUACUGGCUGGUGAGCUGGAAUGAGACAGCAAAACCUGUGGAGCCUCAGGUUCACCUGCAGAAUAGGGAUGAAGUUUCCUUAACUCAGAGCAGUAAGCUCUACUGCAGCGGCAGGUGUUUCUUCUUGAGCUUCCCCCAGCUCCUCUCCUUCUCCUCAUGGCCCAGAGAACAUAGGGAGAUCAUUGCCUAAUUUACUUGCCGCGAUGUUAAGGAGCAACGAUGUGUAAAGAAAUGAAAUCAGCAGGGAGAGGUUGAGUCCCAGCUUUAGUGUAAUUAUCUUUGAUGGUGCAAAUGGAGAGGUAGGUGUCAGUCCCCUGGCGGGAUACAUAGGGUGGCAUUCCAGUUUUGUAAUGGAGAAUUUUCUUCAUGUUGGUGCUUAACACCAUGUGGUCUUAGGAAACAUGAAAUACAGGUCAACUGUAUUGAGAAGCAACUCCAUUGAGAAACGCAACUUUCUCUCUGGGCUAGUCGGGUUCCUGGAUACCGUGGUCCAGCCCUUUGGCACAACUUGUUCCGUAGCCCUAUAAUCAAAGAUCUGCUUCUCUGCCCUGGCUAUUUUGGAAUAUUUUGUGCAUUAAGAUCCCUUAAGAAUUUAUAGAAGCUAGUUCCGUUAAGCACAAAAUUUUUAGAACAAAUAAAACCGACUCCGUUUCUGACCUCUGAAAGUUUAUUCCACAAAUCAAGAUCUUUUCAUCGUGAUGGUGUUUUAACCACUUUGAGACUGUUCCAAAGCCGUGGGCCACAGGGCAGUAUUAAAACUGGGAAAGCAGAAGGGGUUUUAGACAAUGCAGAGGUAGCAACUUGUAGCCAAACAGCUGAAGCAUCUAGUUUGCCUUGGUUCUAAGAUUCUGUCACGUAAAAUGAAGACCAGGGUCCCCCAUCUGCAUGGCCUGGGAUGGAAGCUAAGGCUUUUCCGCUGUCCAGGGCUUCUGCUUUCUCUCUCAAGGUCAGAAUUCCAUUGCCUGGAGGAGGGGAGUUGACUCUACCCAACAUCCAGGCUUACUUGGGGCCUCUGCACCUACCAGCCUACACCUUUUCUCCAAAUCCCAGAUUUCUUUUGAUUCACUGACCCUGGUUUCUUUUCACCUUUACACUUUUAUAUUCUCAACACUCCAUAAACCACAUGCUGACAAGAGGUUGUCUUCUACAAGAAGCAGCCCUCCUUGCUGGUAAAGGCUCUCUGUCACCCAUGGAUAAUUCCACCCUUCUCUUCCCCUAGUUCUGACAUAACAUGGGCCGAGUAAGUGGUGGUAGAAUGAGCAAGUGCGUGAAUUCAUGAAUGCACACCAUUUUUUCCUGGGACUGGUGCCAAGACUUCCAAAGAGAAAACUGAAAGAAGGCAUGCACAUUUGCUCACAGAAUUGAAGCUCACUUAACAAAAUUUUAGCAACACCUAUUAAAAAGAGCAACUCAAAUGUGAACGGAGUUCGAAGCAACUCCAUUGAGAAACGCAACUUUCUCUCUGGGCUAGUCGGGCUCCUGGAUACCGUGGUCCAGCCCUUUGGCACAACUUGUUCCGUAGCCCUAUAAUCAAAGAUCUGCUUCUCUGCCCUUCUUGGCCCCGUGGCUCACGUCAAGAGAGACCUAGAUGUCUCUUCACAUCUUUUCCCAGCCUUUUAGCUUUCAGAGGUUCUCAUCAUAGUAGGGAUCUGUUUGCAGAAGCAAACACGUGGACUAACUGAUAGACUGUAAAAAUGAACAAUACAACAAAGGAAGACAACCCCAAAUGAGGCUGUGCAGUCCCCAUCCCCAGCAACAGUCAAGAAAGGCUUAGAUCCAGGGCUCUUGGGUGGCUCAGUCAGUUAAGUGUGUGACUCUUAAUUGCUCGGGUCUUGAUCAUGGGGUUGUGAGUUCACCCGUGUUGGGCUCCACGCUGGGCAUGGAGCCUACUUAAAAUAAGAA